UACGGGGGGAGCAAGCGUUGUUCGGAUUUACUGGGCGUAAAGCGUGCGCAGGCGGUUAUGUAAGACAGGUGUGAAAUCCCCGGGCUUAACCUGGGAACUGCAUUUGUGACUGCAUAGCUAGAGUACGGUAGAGGGGGAUGGAAUUCCGCGUGUAGCAGUGAAAUGCGUAGAUAUGCGGAGGAACACCGAUGGCGAAGGCAAUCCCCUGGACCUGUACUGACGCUCAUGCACGAAAGCGUGGGGAGCAAACAGG
rnacentral:rRNA from 1 species